rnacentral:lncRNA from 1 species
AUUCCCAUUUGAUCUCCAUGGACUUUGAUGACGGGUCACCACUCUCAUUCAGAUGAAAUUCUUUGGAGAGAACUUUAUUUUCAAAAGAAACAAAGAAGAGGAGGCUGGACCAAGAAUCUGGUGGAGGCAUAGGCAGCUUGAAAGCUUCAAAACCUGCUGCCUGUGUGAUGCUGCCUGCCACCAGAGUAAGUGCCUGGUGGGAAAGGGAAGGGAUAUGAUGCUGUGAGUGGUUCUUGCAGACAAGACUCUGGAAAUGGUGUGUUCCUCAGAGAAAUUGGGAUUAGGCUUCUGAAUCUUAAAGGAAGCAAAGAGCAAACAAUUGAAUAGCCAAGACUGGAAUAUGACAAGACAAU